AACUAAAUCCAAUGACCAAUAAUGAACAAACUGAAAAUAUGUUUCUUCCUAUCCUCCCAUUCUCCUAUCCUCCGUAUUCUCUCUUUUUUUUUUCUAUCUUCCUCAUCCUUACACAAAAUCACCAUAAACAAAAUCUUUCACAACCACCAUCACCAUAACCUCCGACGCCGCCAUCUCUAUCUCCUCAUUCUCUACCUCCGUUGCUUCCACCAUCAUCUUUAUCUCCACCUCCUCGUUCUCUACCUCCGCCAAUGAACUCUGUCUCAACCACUCUUUUUAUCUAUCCUCUUCUAAAAGCUUCUUCUUUUCCAGAUGCAUAUUCAUGGUCUUAGUUAACACCAACUGUAUCUCAGGGACGGGGAAGAGGAAGUGGAAUUGAUAAUGGGGCUGGUGGUUGCUCUUAUUCUCGUAGUGUCACAACAUUGAAGGGAAGAAGCUGGAUAUGAAGAAGAUGUGCUAGUGGAGAUGGAGCCGAGCUAGAAGAAGAAAAAGAGAGAGAGAGGGAGCAGACAAAGACGUAAGGAAGACGAAGAAGAUGGAAGAGGACGACGGUGACGACAGGAUACACGAUGGGAGGAAGGCAGCGGCGUAGAUUAGGUUUAGUUUUGGUUAGUUUAUUAGGUUUGGUUUAGAUAUGGUUAAUUUAAUAAGGCGGGUUUGUGUGUAAACCAAUGUUAAUAAAUAAACUGAUAUUAGUUGUAAACCAAUUCUUUGUAUACUGAUUUUAAUUAAUAAAUAAAAAUUAAUUUUUAAUUA